rnacentral:lncRNA from 1 species
UGAGAGUGUUGAGGGGGUGCAGGAGUUGGGGUGCAACGUUAGGAGGGCGACGCAGCCCUAUAGGGGUGCAACAUUAGGAAGCUGAUGCAGCCCUAUAGGGGUGCGAGUCUGAGUGGGGCUGCGUGCCUUGGGGUGCAUGGAGGAGGGCGUACACUGCGGGGGGGUGCAGGAUUUUAGGGUGUGUGCUUGCAGAUAGGGCAGGGGGGGGCAUGGGGUGCCCCCAGGGUGGAGCAGCGUGGGGCGGCCACGGGGUCGGGGGCGUCAGUGGGGUGCGGGUGUGCACAGACAGGAGAGUAAACGAGGGGAGGGGGAGUCACGGGAUGGGCUGUGGGGGAAGGGGCUGCGCCAUGGGGACGGCGCGGGGGCACAGCGAUGUGGGGGUGGAGGGAAGGGCCCCCCACCCUAUGGCCACGGCGCGG